AUUGAACGCUGGCGGCAGGCCUAACACAUGCAAGUCGAGCGGAUGAAGGGAGCUUGCUCCUGGAUUCAGCGGCGGACGGGUGAGUAAUGCCUAGGAAUCUGCCUGGUAGUGGUGGAUAACGUCCGGAAACGGGCGCUAAUACCGCAUACGUCCUGAGGGAGAAAGUGGGGGAUCUUCGGACCUCACGCUAUCAGAUGAUCCUAGGUCGGAUUAUCUAGUUGGUGGGGUAAAGGCCUACCAAGGCGACGAUCCGUAACUGGUCUGAGAGGAUGAUCAGUCACAUUAGAACUGAAACACGGUCAAGACUACUAAGAGAGGCAGCAGUGGGGAAUAUUAGACAGUAGGCGAAAGCAUGAUCCAGCGAGGCGGAGUGUGUGAAGGAGAUCUUCGGAGUGUAAAGAACGUUAAGGUGGGAGGAAGGGCAGUAAGUUAAUACCAAGCUGGAUUGACGGUAACAACAGAAGAAGCACCGGCUAACUUCGUG
rnacentral:rRNA from 1 species